rnacentral:rRNA from 1 species
CGAACGCUGGCGGCAUGCCUAACACAUGCAAGUCGAACGAAGCCUUCGGGCUUAGUGGCGCACGGGUGCGUAACACGUGGGAAUCUGCCCUUCGGUUCGGAAUAACAGUUAGAAAUGACUGCUAAUACCGGAUGAUGUCUUCGGACCAAAGAUUUAUCGCCGAGGGAUGAGCCCGCGUAGGAUUAGCUUGUUGGUGGGGUAAUGGCCUACCAAGGCGACGAUCCUUAGCUGGUCUGAGAGGAUGAUCAGCCACACUGGGACUGAGACACGGCCCAGACUCCUACGGGAGGCAGCAGUGGGGAAUAUUGGACAAUGGGCGAAAGCCUGAUCCAGCAAUGCCGCGUGAGUGAUGAAGGCCUUAGGGUUGUAAAGCUCUUUUACCAGGGAUGAUAAUGACAGUACCUGGAGAAUAAGCUCCGGCUAACUCCGU